CGGAGGACUGGGGGUGGCGCCGGGGCCGGCCCUGCUGAGCCCUGCACCCGGCGCCCGGGAUGCUGGAGAUCCAGGACCCGGUGGGCGGCCAGAGUGGAGGUCACGAGCGGCACUGGCACCGCCGGAAGGCGCAGCCAGGCCUCGGGGGACUAAAACGCCCGGUUGCCUGCAGAGGGGGGCAGUUUGGGGAAGUGUUUCCUGCCCCGAGAGGAGCCUUUCGCUGUGCCCACGUGGGAAACACUCCUUUUUGGUACUGAUCCCAUACCUAGUUGUGCCUUACCCUGAUGAGAAGACCCAACCCUGGCCCUCAUCACUCACACGAGCCAUAACGACUGUUCUAAUAAACUGUCUACUUAAGUCAUUCAGUGGUUUAUGUGUCUGCUUGCCAGCCAAGAGCUGGAAUGAAGAAUUCAAACCCUUGAAGAUUAAUUAUGGAGACACAUUGAAGGUGGACUAUCCCACAGGAAGUAAUCAGCCGGCCCUGACACCUCUUCACGACAGCGCCUGAGAAGCACACACACAGACCUGCUCUUCUGGACCUGACAGCCCUGCCUUGUGACAGAAGCCUCAGAAACCUGGGUGCUCUUUCACCUCUCCCAGCUCUCCUGCCCACAACACAACAUCAUUGUCAUGACUACGGCACUGCUCUAACACCCAGCAGCAAGAGAGGCAAAUUGAAGGGAGGCAGGCGCUUGGUCCACUCAUCCAUUGGGUGGUGAUCAUGGGUAAGGUCAGGCAUGGAGGGUAUAUCAGCAUAGGGAGGGCAGUCCUUGGGCUGGGGGCUGAAGGUGGAUCAAAAACAGGAAGGUACCUUGCUUGGGAUCUAGUGAUAAGAGCAGUACAUUGUAGGCAUUUGUGAGGGGUA